CCUACGGGAGGCUGCAGUGGGGAAUAUUGGACAAUGGGGGGAACCCUGAUCCAGCCAUGCCGCGUGUGUGAAGAAGGCUCUCGGGUUGUAAAGCACUUUCAGUGAGGAAGAACGCCUGGUGGUUAAUACCCAUCAGGAAAGACAUCACUCACAGAAGAAGCACCGGCUAACUCCGUGCCAGCAGCCGCGGUAAUACGGAGGGUGCGAGCGUUAAUCGGAAUUACUGGGCGUAAAGCGCGCGUAGGUGGCUUGAUAAGCCGGUUGUGAAAGCCCCGGGCUCAACCUGGGAACGGCAUCCGGAACUGUCAAGCUAGAGUGCCGGAGAGGAAGGUAGAAUUCCCGGUGUAGCGGUGAAAUGCGUAGAGAUCGGGAGGAAUACCAGUGGCGAAGGCGGCCUUCUGGACUGACACUGACACUGAGGUGCGAAAGCGUGGGUAGCAAACAGGAUUAGAUACCCUUGUAGUC
rnacentral:rRNA from 1 species